rnacentral:rRNA from 1 species
GACGAACGCUGGCGGCGUGCUUAACACAUGCAAGUCGAACGGAAAGGCCCUGCUUUUGUGGGGUGCUCGAGUGGCGAACGGGUGAGUAACACGUGAGUAACCUGCCCUUGACUUUGGGAUAACUUCAGGAAACUGGGGCUAAUACCGGAUAGGAGCUCCUGCUGCAUGGUGGGGGUUGGAAAGUUUCGGCGGUUGGGGAUGGACUCGCGGCUUAUCAGCUUGUUGGUGGGGUAGUGGCUUACCAAGGCUUUGACGGGUAGCCGGCCUGAGAGGGUGACCGGCCCCAUUGGGACUGAGAUACGGCCCAGACUCCUACGGGAGGCAGCAGUGGGGAAUAUUACACAAUGGGCGGGAGCCUGAUGCAGCAACGCCGCGUGCGGGAUGACGGCCUUCGGGUUGUAAACCGCUUUCGCCUGUGACGAAGCGUGAGUGACGGUAAUGGGUAAAGAAGCACCGGCUAACUACGUG